GUAGGUGGCAAGCGUUGUCCGGAAUUAUUGGGCGUAAAGCGCGCGCAGGCGGUUCUUUAAGUCUGAUGUGAAAGCCCACGGGCUCAACCGUGGAGGGUCAUUGGAAACUGGAGAACUUGAGUACAGAAGAGGAAAGCGGAAUUCCACGUGUAGCGGUGAAAUGCGUAGAGAUGUGGAGGAACACCAGUGGCGAAGGCGGCUUUCUGGUCUGUAACUGACACUGAGGCGCGAAAGCGUGGGGAGCAAACAGGAUUAGAUACCCUGGUAGUCCACGCCGUAAACGAUGAGUGCUAAGUGUUAGGGGGUUUCCGCCCCUUAGUGCUGCAGCUAACGCAUUAAGCACUCCGCCUGGGGAGUACGGCCGCAAGGCUG
rnacentral:rRNA from 1 species